AGACCCGAAACCCGGUGAUCUAGCCAUGGGCAGGUUGAAGGUUGGGUAACACUAACUGGAGGACCGAACCGACUAAUGUUGAAAAAUUAGCGGAUGACCUGUGGCUGGGGGUGAAAGGCCAAUCAAACCGGGAGAUAGCUGGUUCUCCCCGAAAGCUAUUUAGGUAGCGCCUCGUGAAUUCAUCUCCGGGGGUAGAGCACUGUUUCGGCUAGGGGGCCAUCCCGGCUUACCAACCCGAUGCAAACUGCGAAUACCGGAGAAUGUUAUCACGGGAGACACACGGCGGGUGCUAACGUCCGUCGUGAAGAGGGAAACAACCCAGACCGCCAGCUAAGGUCCCAAAGUCAUGGUUAAGUGGGAAACGAUGUGGGAAGGCCCAGACAGCCAGGAUGUUGGCUUAGAAGCAGCCAUCAUUUAAAGAAAGCGUAAUAGCUCACUGGUCGAGUCGGCCUGCGCGGAAGAUGUAACGGGGCUAAACCAUGCACCGAAGCUGCGGCAGCGAACGUAUCACCCAAGACAACUUUACGGAGUUGACGAUUGACGGAGCGAAGCGACGUCAAAGCGUUCAUUAAAGUCGAGUUGGCUUAGGGAUACGUUCGUUGGGUAGGGGAGCGUUCUGUAAGCCUGUGAAGGUGUGUCGUGAGGCAUGCUGGAGGUAUCAGAAGUGCGAAUGCUGACAUAAGUAACGAUAAAGCGGGUGAAAAGCCCGCUCGCCGGAAGACCAAGGGUUCCUGUCCAACGUUAAUCGGGGCAGGGUGAGUCGACCCCUAAGGCGAGGCCGAAAGGCGUAGUCGAUGGGAAACGGGUUAAUAUUCCCGUACUUGGUGUUACUGCGAAGGGGGGACGGAGAAGGCUAUGUUGGCCGGGCGACGGUUGUCCCGGUUUAAGCGUGUAGGUGUGUGUUCCAGGUAAAUCCGGUUCACUUUAACACUGAGGCGUGACGACGAGGCACUACGGUGCUGAAGCAACAAAUGCCCUGCUUCCAGGAAAAGCCUCUAAGCAUCAGGUAACAUCAAAUCGUACCCCAAACCGACACAGGUGGUCAGGUAGAGAAUACCAAGGCGCUUGAGAGAACUCGGGUGAAGGAACUAGGCAAAAUGGUGCCGUAACUUCGGGAGAAGGCACGCUGACACGUAGGUGAAGUGAUUUACUCAUGGAGCUGAAGUCAGUCGAAGAUACCAGCUGGCUGCA
rnacentral:rRNA from 1 species